AGCGAACGCUGGCGGCAGGCUUAACACAUGCAAGUCGAGCGGGCACUUUCGGGUGUCAGCGGCGGACGGGUGAGUAACGCGUGGGAACGUGCCCUCUGGUUCGGAAUAACUCAGGGAAACUUGAGCUAAUACCGGAUACGCCCUUUUGGGGAAAGGCUUGCUGCCGGAGGAUCGGCCCGCGUCUGAUUAGCUAGUUGGUGAGGUAACGGCUCACCAAGGCGACGAUCAGUAGCUGGUCUGAGAGGAUGAUCAGCCACACUGGGACUGAGACACGGCCCAGACUCCUACGGGGGGCAGCAGUGGGGAAUAUUGGACAAUGGGCGCAAGCCUGAUCCAGCCAUGCCGCGUGAGUGAUGAAGGCCUUAGGGUUGUAAAGCUCUUUUAUCCGGGACGAUAAUGACGGUACCGGAGGAAUAAGCCCCGGCUAACUUCGUG
rnacentral:rRNA from 1 species